rnacentral:rRNA from 1 species
AAUGGGUCAGCGACUUAUAUUCUGUAGCAAGGUUAACCGAAUAGGGGAGCCGAAGGGAAACCGAGUCUUAACUGGGCGUUAAGUUGCAGGGUAUAGACCCGAAACCCGGUGAUCUAGCCAUGGGCAGGUUGAAGGUUGGGUAACACUAACUGGAGGACCGAACCGACUAAUGUUGAAAAAUUAGCGGAUGACUUGUGGCUGGGGGUGAAAGGCCAAUCAAACCGGGAGAUAGCUGGUUCUCCCCGAAAGCUAUUUAGGUAGCGCCUCGUGAAUUCAUCUCCGGGGGUAGAGCACUGUUUCGGCAAGGGGGUCAUCCCGACUUACCAACCCGAUGCAAACUGCGAAUACCGGAGAAUGUUAUCACGGGAGACACACGGCGGGUGCUAACGUCCGUCGUGAAGAGGGAAACAACCCAGACCGCCAGCUAAGGUCCCAAAGUCAUGGUUAAGUGGGAAACGAUGUGGGAAGGCCCAGACAGCCAGGAUGUUGGCUUAGAAGCAGCCAUCAUUUAAAGAAAGCGUAAUAGCUCACUGGUCGAGUCGGCCUGCGCGGAAGAUGUAACGGGGCUAAACCAUGCACCGAAGCUGCGGCAGCGACACUAUGUGUUGUUGGGUAGGGGAGCGUUCUGUAAGCCUGUGAAGGUGUACUGUGAGGUAUGCUGGAGGUAUCAGAAGUGCGAAUGCUGACAUAAGUAACGAUAAAGCGGGUGAAAAGCCCGCUCGCCGGAAGACCAAGGGUUCCUGUCCAACGUUAAUCGGGGCAGGGUGAGUCGACCCCUAAGGCGAGGCCGAAAGGCGUAGUCGAUGGGAAACAGGUUAAUAUUCCUGUACUUGGUGUUACUGCGAAGGGGGGACGGAGAAGGCUAUGUUGGCCGGGCGACGGUUGUCCCGGUUUAAGCGUGUAGGCUGGUUUUCCAGGCAAAUCCGGAAAAUCAAGGCUGAGGCGUGAUGACGAGGCACUACGGUGCUGAAGCAACAAAUGCCCUGCUUCCAGGAAAAGCCUCUAAGCAUCAGGUAACAUCAAAUCGUACCCCAAACCGACACAGGUGGUCAGGUAGAGAAUACCAAGGCGCUUGAGAGAACUCGGGUGAAGGAACUAGGCAAAAUGGUGCCGUAACUUCGGGAGAAGGCACGCUGAUAUGUAGGUGAAGCGACUUGCUCGUGGAGCUGAAAUCAGUCGAAGAUACCAGCUGGCUGCAACUGUUUAUUAAAAACACAGCACUGUGCAAACACGAAAGUGGACGUAUACGGUGUGACGCCUGCCCGGUGCCGGAAGGUUAAUUGAUGGGGUCAGCGCAAGCGAAGCUCUUGAUCGAAGCCCCGGUAAACGGCGGCCGUAACUAUAACGGUCCUAAGGUAGCGAAAUUCCUUGUCGGGUAAGUUCCGACCUGCACGAAUGGCGUAAUGAUGGCCAGGCUGUCUCCACCCGAGACUCAGUGAAAUUGAACUCGCUGUGAAGAUGCAGUGUACCCGCGGCAAGACGGAAAGACCCCGUGAACCUUUACUAUAGCUUGACACUGAACAUUGAGCCUUGAUGUGUAGGAUAGGUGGGAGGCUUUGAAGUGUGGACGCCAGUCUGCAUGGAGCCGACCUUGAAAUACCACCCUUUAAUGUUUGAUGUUCUAACGUUGACCCGUGAUCCGGGUUGCGGACAGUGUCUGGUGGGUAGUUUGACUGGGGCGGUCUCCUCCUAAAGAGUAACGGAGGAGCACGAAGGUUGGCUAAUCCUGGUCGGACAUCAGGAGGUUAGUGCAAUGGCAUAAGCCAGCUUGACUGCGAGCGUGACGGCGCGAGCAGGUGCGAAAGCAGGUCAUAGUGAUCCGGUGGUUCUGAAUGGAAGGGCCAUCGCUCAACGGAUAAAAGGUACUCCGGGGAUAACAGGCUGAUACCGCCCAAGAGUUCAUAUCGACGGCGGUGUUUGGCACCUCGAUGUCGGCUCAUCACAUCCUGGGGCUGAAGUAGGUCCCAAGGGUAUGGCUGUUCGCCAUUUAAAGUGGUACGCGAGCUGGGUUUAGAACGUCGUGAGACAGUUCGGUCCCUAUCUGCCGUGGGCGCUGGAGAACUGAGGGGGGCUGCUCCUAGUACGAGAGGACCGGAGUGGACGCAUCACUGGUGUUCGGGUUGUCAUGCCAAUGGCACUGCCCGGUAGCUAAAUGCGGAAGAGAUAAGUGCUGAAAGCAUCUAAGCACGAAACUUGCCCCGAGAUGAGUUCUCCCUGACUCCUUGAGAGUCCUGAAGGAACGUUGAAGACGACGACGUUGAUAGGCCGGGUGUGUAAGCGCAGCGAUGCGUUGAGCUAACCGGUACUAAUGAACCGUGAGGCUUAACCUUACAAC